rnacentral:rRNA from 1 species
UACGUAGGUGACAAGCGUUGUCCGGAUUUACUGGGCGUAAAGAGCGCGCAGGCGGUCGAUCAAGUCGAGUGUGAAAGCCCCCGGCUCAACUGGGGAGGGUCAUUCGAUACUGAUCGACUCGAAGGCAGGAGAGGGUAGUGGAAUUCCCGGUGUAGUGGUGAAAUGCGUAGAUAUCGGGAGGAACACCAGUGGCGAAGGCGGCCAGCUGGGCCAGAUCCGACACUGAGGCGCGAAAGCGUGGGGAGCAAACAGG